AGGCGCGUAGCUCAGUUGGUUAGAGCGCUUCCUUGACACGGAAGAGGUCAGCGGUUCGAAUCCGCUCGUGCCUACCA
rnacentral:tRNA from 2 species